GUAAUUCCCAAAGAAGGCCGACAGCUGAGGCUGUGUUGGCAGCACUCCCAGCGCCAGGGGGAAUGAGCCCUUGAGCUCUGAAGGGGAGCCUAUGGUGCAGCACAGUGAGGACUCAGCUGGUCCUCUUGGCCCUGGCGCCCUCCUUCUGGUCCCUGCGGCCUGCUUUCUGCAUUUUGGACUCAACUCAGACAUUGGGGUGGUCCCUGGUGUGGCGGAUCACACCAGCCGACUGCCUCAAAACCCGUCUCUCCUUCUUCCUUACAAACCAUGACUAUGUUCAGGCAGCUAGAGGUGGCCAGGCAGCAUAGCCCUGGCCAGCUAGACUGAGUGGAAAUCUACUGGGGAUCCCUGUGAAAUUAUUCUUUUCUCAUAUUAUUGCUGCCCCUUCCUCCUUCUCUCAGUUUAUUUCUUCUUUUUUCUUCCUGCUUAGAAUGCAAAUAUGAAGCUGGCAGUCGUCUAGCCAUCUGGAGCUCAUGUGGCAACCAAGGGGAAGAAAGCUUUACUCCAGGGAUGCGGAAAGAGAGCUGGACGCAGCAGCUGGGUAUUUAUGUUCUAUAGAGCUAAGAGGCUGCCUCUCAAAGUCGCCUCCACUCACUCAUUGUCUUCCUGGGCUUGUGCCGUGUCUCUUCAAUCUUUGGAGCAUGAAGAUGCGGUGGAAGUCACAUGGAGAGAAGUCUGACAGGCAUCAAAACAGGCUUGGAGACUCCUGGGAGGUUCAGUGACCAGUCUCGUCCAAGGAACUGAAGACCUAAAGCAAUGUUGCCUGAAGAGACCUACACAACUUCCCGGAGGAAGGGGAUGCUUCACAGAUCGUGGAGGCUAUACACACAACCAGGACCAAGAUACAGCUCAGAAACUGGUGGGCUCUUAUCCUUUCAUUGCUGUUCACCUCACCCGGGGUCACUGGAUAAUGUCCAAGUUGUCGUAACUAACACAUGUAGAUCAACAAAUAAUGGGAGAGAGUGGCACAGUCCAGUGGGUGGGGCCUGAUGGUAAAAGUA
rnacentral:lncRNA from 1 species